UGCCAGCCUCCGCUGUACUCCUGAUUGUGCAAUCGUUAAUCGGAAUUACUGGGCUUAAAGAGUUCGUAGGUGGUUAAAAAAGUUGGUGGUGAAAUCCCAGAGCUUAACUCUGGAACUGCCAUCAAAACUUUUUAGCUAGAGUAUGAUAGAGGGAAGCAGAAUUUCUAGUGUAGAGGUGAAAUUCGUAGAUAUUAGAAAGAAUACCAAUUGCGAAGGCAGCUUUCUGGAUCAUUACUGACGCUGAGGAACGAAAGCAUGGGUAGCGAAGAGGAUUAGAUA
rnacentral:rRNA from 1 species